ACGGGGGUGCAGCAGGCGCGAAAACUUCACAAUGUGGGAAACCACGAUGAGGGGAUUCCAAGUGCCAGCACAUUGUGUUGGCUGUUCACUUGCCUAAAAAGCUGGUGAAGUAAGAGCCGGGUAAGACGGGUGCCAGCCGCCGCGGUAAUACCCGCGGCUCGAGUGGUGGCCACUAUUAUUGAGCCUAAAGCGUUCGUAGCCGGUUUCGUAAAUUUCUGGGUAAAUCGGGCAGCUUAACUGUCCGAAUUCCGGAAAGACUGCGAAACUUGGGACCGGAGGAGGUUGGAGGUACUCCUGGGGUAGGGGUGAAAUCCUGUAAUCCUGGGGGGACCACCAGUGGCGAAGGCGUCCAACCAAAACGGCUCCGACGGUAAGGGACGAAGCCCUGGGGCGCAAACGGGAUUAGAUACCCCGGUAGUCCAGGGUGUAAACGCUGCAGGCUUGGUGUUGGGGGUCCUACGAGGGCGCCCAGUGCCGGAGAGA
rnacentral:rRNA from 1 species